ensembl:snoRNA SNORA73 Small nucleolar RNA SNORA73 family
CCAAUGGCAUACAUUCACUUACAUUCAAACCCUCUGUCCCAGUGGCACCCAGGAGCAAAGGGCUCCACCCCAUGACAUCCAGUGCCUUCCCAAGAUGUUGGGGAGGAAGCUGGGCCUUGAGUCUGCACCUAUAUUUCCAAAGCUUCUCAGAGUCCUGAGGACAAUGGCUGAGGAGACAAAUUAUGCAGAAAACAGUG